GAAAGACGCUGGUGAGAGACUGUUUAUUGUAACUGCUAUAAGGGUCCGGGGAACCUGGAGCCAAUCCCAGUGGACUUGGGGCACAAUGCGGCGAACACCCUGGAUGGGGUACUAACCCAUCACAAGUGAAUCCUGGUGCCAUCUCUUCCCCAGCUCUUUUGUGGGAUUGAACCAGAUGAGCUAGCCUUCACUCCCUACAUGUAUCCAUAAGCCUUGGGUGCCAUGACAUUGUCCACCGUUCACCCAUUGUCCUUCCUUAGACCACUUUUGGUAAGUACUAACCACUGCAUACUAGGAACAUCCCACAAGACCUGCUGUUUUGGAGAUGCUCUGACCCAGUUAUCUAGCCAUCAGAGUUUGGCCCUUAUCAAAGUUGUUCAGAUCCUUACGCUUGCCCAUUUUUCCUGCAUCCAACACAUCAUCUUCGAGAACUGACUGCUCACUUGUUGCCUAAUAUUUCCCACACCUUGACAGAUGCCACUGUAACGAGAUAAUCA
ensembl:lncRNA